rnacentral:rRNA from 1 species
UACGUAGGGUGCAAGCGUUGUCCGGAAUUAUUGGGCGUAAAGAGCUCGUAGGCGGUCUGUCGCGUCUGCUGUGAAAACUCGGGGCUUAACCCCGGGCCUGCAGUGGGUACGGGCAGACUAGAGUGCGGUAGGGGAGACUGGAAUUCCUGGUGUAGCGGUGAAAAUGCGCAGAUAUCAGGAGGAACACCGGUGGCGAAGGCGGGUCUCUGGGCCGUAACUGACGCUGAGGAGCGAAAGCGUGGGGAGCGAACAGG